rnacentral:RNase_P_RNA from 1 species
CCAGCAGUUCGUUCUGUCGCUCCGGGAAGAUGUAUCCAGUGGAAUCGUUCUUCCGGGGAGGAAAGUCGGGACAACAGAGAGCACCAUGCUUCCUAACAGGAAGGGAUCCGGGAAACCGGAUUACAGCAAGUGCCACAGAAAAUUACCGCCUUUGAAAGGGCAACCUUUCAAAGGUAAGGGUGAAAACGCGGUGUAAGAGACCACGAUCCCGGAUGGCAACAUCCGGAAUGGGUAAACCUCAUGGGUUGAAAGACCAUGUACAUCCCGCUGAUGCAAAUCACCUGGCUGCUCGCCGGGGCCGCAAGGCGACGGGAGGGGUAGGUCGCAAAAACCGGUUGGUGACAGCCGGUUCAGAUAAAUGACAGAUUAAAACAGAAUCCUGCUUACUGAACUGCUGUUUUU